UGCGUAGGCGGCGUUGUAAGUCAGAAGUGAAAGCUUUCAGCUUAACUGGAAAAUUGCUUUUGAUACUGCAGCACUUGAAUCAGGUUGAGGUCGGCGGAAUGUGACAUGUAGCGGUGAAAUGCAUAGAUAUGUCAUAGAACACCAAUUGCGAAGGCAGCUGACUGGGCCUGUAUUGACGCUGAGGCACGAAAGCGUGGGGAGCGAACA
rnacentral:rRNA from 1 species